GGUCACAUGCCACAGCUAAAGAUCCUACAUGCUGCAAGGAAGGCUGAAGAUCCUGUGUGCCAAAGCUAAGACCCAAAAAUUACCAUGAACUGAAUGGCUUGAUCCAAUAGACACCUGUUCUCUCACAGUCCUGGAGGCUAGAAGGUUGAAGACAAGGUACUGGCAAGGAGGCAGAUGCAAUGUCUGGAGAAGUAUCAGUGCCAUUAUGACUGGGAAAAUGAAAGACAUAUGCUGAGAAGAGUGAAGAAAGAAGAUAGGAUUCUUGGUGAUGUCAUUGAGUCAUACAAAAACUGGACUGGAGGAGUCCUUAUUAAAUGAAAGAAGAGAGGAAAAAAAAACACUGGACUUCUUUAAACUCUUGAAAUUUGCUGCUCCCUCAAGUCUCACUGGAAGCAAACUUCAAUCAUCUUAUAAACUUCAAGAAUCUGUAGCAGCAACCCUCGUUCACCCAACUUUCACACUCCUCUGUCAACCAGCUUGGGUACCAGUGAAAUCCAUCUUUGUCCUCCCCAUUCUCCUACAGCUCACGCAGGAUGCUGAAUUCCAAGCAUCAGGGUCUCUUCCAGUGAGUCAGUUCUUCGCAUCAGGUGGCCAAAGUAUUGGAGUUUCAGCUUCAGCAUCAGUCCUUUCAAUGAACAUUCAGGACUGAUUUCCUUUAGGAUUGACUGGUUUGAUCUUGCAGAAAACAGAAGAAAUAUUAUAACAAAUUCAAAUAAAGAUUUUUAAAAUGUUCUACAUAAAAAAACCUUUAAAUAAUCAAAUGUAAUCAUAGUACAAAUGGCUUAAUAUCUAAUAAAUAUGUUGUGCUUGUUUUUAAAAAUAGGUUAACUAUUUUUAAGUUCUAGUAUAUUGCCAAUCAUAAAGGAAAGCAAAUGAAAUACUUUUUAAAAAUAAGGAAUAAUAAUACUGCCAUUCAAAGGGAAAUGUGUUAAUUUGGAGAGGUCUUCCUCUGUCAGUCUUUUUGGUGCCUUUUACAUAGUUGUAAUCAUUCUGAAUUUUAGUUUAAUGUUAUAGCACAAAUGUUUUCCAUGUUAUCAUAUUUGCUUUAUAUGUAACUUUGUGAUAGUUACAUAACAUUUUAAGUUUAUCAUGAAAUAUUUCAUACAAAAAGACAUAAGGAAUGAAUAGAAUGAAAUGCAUGUAUCCUCACAGAGCUUAAGAAAUAAACCAUAGAACGACAAUACAAUAUCUGAUGGCCUAUUAUUGCGAGGAAAAGACAACAUAAAGCAGUGGACUAUUACCAUUGAAGUGCUGAAACAAAACAAGUAGGGGCAGUCGUUUAAAAUUACGUCUGUGUAGGGGAUAUAUGUAUAUGUAUGGCUGAUUCAUUUUGAUGUACAGUAGAAACUAACAACAUUGUAAUUGUAAAGCAACAAUAGUCCAAUUAAAAUUAAUGGAAAAAAAAUCACAGGACCUAAUAUGUCAUCAUUGCCCAAUAGAUAUUUGUAAGUGAAAAAAAUAAGUCUAUGCAAAUCAACUAUACAUCAAUAAAAAGUGAAUAAAUAAAGUAGU